GUUCACUCAUCUCACCCUCUCCCUUUAAAACAGGCCCCAGCUCCAUAGUAGGACUCUCCAGGCCACUCAAAAUGGCUGCCAGCAUCUGUCCCUGGUUGAGAACUUCACCAGGAGAGUCUCCUAGAGUGCACUGCAAAUCAGAGGAUGAGAGAGGCUUUGACUACAUGUGAUGUAUAAUGGCUUAUCCACUGCCAUGCCUGUGGGGGUGCAGCAGGGUGUGAGCAUACAGGACCUGCCCACCUGAUCAGUGUGCAAUUGUGUGAGUAACCUGGUUGAAGGAGGAGCUGAAGGUGAUGAUGAGUAAAUAAAAGAACAACCAAAUUGAGAAUGGCCAAGCUGCCUUAGAAGUGACUUUCUUGAUCACAUUUGUAGUAAGAGUUGCGUUGCUGGGGAGAUCUGAUGAUGCAUUCAGUCUAAACCAACAUGGCUAAAUACCCUGCUGAUAUAGAUUGGUGCAGAUCCAGUGAGGUUAAUGGAGCUGAAAUGGUCUACACCAGCAGAGAAUCAGUUUCUAGGAACAGAGAAGAGACUCAAAUAAUGCAGAUGUGCAGUCCCAGCUCUAAAGAACCCCAAGGAAUACUUCAGUCUCUGGGUACUGCCAUUUCUUCUCCAGCACGCCAGGAUGAGGAACUGAGUUGGACAAAGCAGAGCCAUUAGUUCUGCAGACUUCUUCUGAGUUGCUGGCCUGUACACAGUUGUAUUUGAUAACUGCAUGCC